UUAGAAAAUAAAAACCCAAAGACUCAUAUGGACUUCGGCUACACCAUCAAAGCUUUGAGAAGCAAGAAGAAGUUGUUGACGAGCUAAUUGGAAGAAGCGGACCUGAAAAUGUUAAACCACUCGACCCCCUGGUCGAGUAGAUGCUUCACUACUUCAACAGACCACUUGACCCCGU
rnacentral:sRNA from 1 species